rnacentral:rRNA from 1 species
ACAGAGGUGGCAAGUGUUGUUCGGAUUUACUGGGCGUAAAGGGUUCGCAGGCGGCUUUGUUUGUCAGAUGUGAAAGCCCACGGCUUAACCGUGGAAAUGCAUUUGAAACUACAGGGCUAGAGUACGGGAGAGGAGAGGGGAAUUCAUGGUAUAGCGGUGAAAUGCGUAGAUAUCAUGAAGAACACCGGUGGCGAAAGCGCCUCUCUGGACCGAUACUGACGCUCAUGAACGAAAGCCAGGGGAGCAAAGGG